GCAGUCGAGCGGAACGACUUAUCUGAACCUGUCGGGGGACGUUAAGGGCGUCGAGCGGCGGACGGGUGAGUAAUGCCUACUGAAUUGCCCCGUUGUGGGGGAUAACCAUUGGAAACAAUGGCCAAUACCGCAUGGUGCCGACGGACCAAAUAGGGGGACCUUCGGGCCUCUCUCGUCCAGAUAUGCCUAGGUGGGAUUAGCUAGUUGGUGAGGUAAUGGCUCACCAAGGCGACGAUCCCUAGCUGGUCUGAGAGGAUGA
rnacentral:rRNA from 1 species